UUCCAAGGAUUUCAGGAGUUGUAUGC
rnacentral:piRNA from 1 species